rnacentral:rRNA from 1 species
UAGCUGGUUCUCCUCGAAAGCUAUUUAGGUAGCGCCUCACGUAGCACCGCCGGGGGUAGAGCACUGUUUCGGCUAGGGGGUCAUCCCGACUUACCAACCCGAGGCAAACUCCGAAUACCGGUGAGUGGCGCGUGGGAGACACACAGCGGGUGCUAACGUCCGUUGUGAAAAGGGAAACAACCCAGACCGUCAGCUAAGGUCCCGAAAUCCUGGUUAAGUGGGAAACGAUGUGGGAAGGCUCAGACAGCUAGGAGG